CUUUUUCAAAAAUCUCUUUUUUUUUUCACUCUCGAUAGGUGAAAUAAAUUUUCAUGUGUUCAGAUGUUUUUACAAUUGCUAUUGAGGAAUACAGAGCAAUUCUUGAUUUCCUCGUGGACUGAUUCAACGAGCAGCCUGCUGUUCUUUGAGCCGGGAAGAUGAUCAAACUUGGCCAUUUAGAGGAAGUAAAAGUCGUCGUCUUGCUUUCUUCGCAGCCGAUCUCUGUAAGCCAGCCAGUCGAGGUUGUCCCAAACGAGACAAGUGUCCAGACGAAUGGUGACAGAGCACACGACUGUCAAUUGCUGACAUUUCUAUUCUCGGCGACAGCUAAGAUUAGGUCUUCUGAUUGAAACGUCUGCCACCAAACUAACAGACAAAAUGUCACCUUUUACUCUUGAGUUUAUUCCAACAUGCUAUAACGUUUGGGUGUCAGACACAAUAUCUUCAUAAUGCAAACGUAUAGAGUGGACCAUUUAUUUCGAAUGAUCAAGAUAUUGUAUCAAAAACUAUUUUAGUCGUAAAAUAUAUAUCAAAAGAAUUGUUGAUAUUUAUUCCGAUAGAUGGGGUUGAUCAUUUUCAACUUGCAGUAUAUUUCCCUAUAUAUAUAAAAGUCAGUGUAUGUAUGUGGGUAUCUAUGUCGGCUAUACACGUCCACAAUACGUAACAAAUCUGGCUGAAAUUUUAACAGUAUAUAGAGUUGAAUCUGGAAAAACUUAAAGGCAAAUUUUCAGGCUUCUAUCUCGAAUACCCUUGGAGUUAUUAACAAAUUAGUAACGAAUUUUCCCU